UCAACCCGACCCGUUAAGCUAACGGGUCAUCCGUUAACAAUUAUUAUAUUUUUUUUUGUAUAAAGUUUAUUUUUUGUUAUUAAGACUUUACUAAAAUUACUAAAAUAUCAUUAACUAACGGGUCUAACGGGUUGAUCCAAAAUGACCCGUUAUUUAACGGGUUGUUAACGGGUUCACCCGUUAGCGACCCGACCCGUUAAGCAUCCACCCAAAUACAAAUAUUAACAGGUUGGGUCGGGUUGGGUUAACGGGUUGGGUCCAAAAUGCCAAGCCUAAUUGAUACCAUAGAUAGUAAGCCCAAACAAGUAGAAAGUGGGUCACUAGAAAUAGUAGAGCAAUUAAAAUUAGAAGUUUAAAAGUUCAAUUAGUACAGAAAGAUUUCACUUAGCAAAUAGAUAGCAUAAUAAAAUAGAUAGAUCAUUAAUUUAAUGGCCGAUUCCUGAACCCAUAGAAUAUAUAUCCAAGUUUUGAAGGAAUUAGAUAUUAAAUAAGGAACCAGUUUAUUUAAUUGAUUUUUCAUCACAAGUAGAUAGUAGUAAUAUUUCAAUUAGAUAAAAUAAUUUAAUCAUCCAAUUAGUUUUAAAUUUAGUUGAAAAAUUAGAUCAAGUAGAAGAACAAAUAGCAUAAAUUAAUCAAGUUUUGCAUAACACAUCUUUAUCACUGCUGUCACCUUUAUUACAAGAUUAGAAAAUUUAACUUUGAGCACAAAUAAUCAUAUUAGAAUACCUAAGAUUAAUCAUUUUGAUAAUAAAAAAUAGAACACAUCAGGAGAAAAUAAAUAGAAAUUAGCAGAAGAUUACUUAGCACUUUGGAAGGAAUUUAUAUUAGUUUUAUUAGAAGAUUACAUGCAUAUGCACAAGGAAGAAGCUAGGCAUAUUGACACACCCAAACACGAAUUGUCCACUUAGACUCCAAAUCAGGCUGUGCUAGUCGACACCCGGAAUGUGACGAAGUCAUAAAAGUGUAGUGAGGUGAAAAAUGUGAGUAAAUUUAAACUUAAAAGUGCCUGCAUGAAAGAGUGCGCUAGUGAGCGGGAAUAAACUCAUUUCACACGUAAGUAAAGUACAGUAAAGGUAGGAUAAGAAUUAUACCAUCGAAGGUAAUCACCUAUACUAAGAUUUUCCAAGAAUCCUCAUCGACACGCAAGCACUUCUACUAAAACCUAGAGGGGCGAAAAACAAAGGUGAGUGGGCCUAAAAAUAAAACUUUGUAAACAUAUUUUUGAAAAUGUAAUAACCCCUCGCCGUAAAACAAUUAUAGUUUCCAAACAUAACAUACUAAGUAUAGUAUGAAAAUACUUACCGUAGCCAGCAAUAUCUUAAUAAUGCAAUAUGUCACGACAUUUCGUAAAUAAACACAUAACGUCCAGUAAUCACAUAAUUUCAUAUAAACAAAAAUAUCAUAUUGAGUGCUCAUUGACAUAUACUGACACACGAAUUUAUGUAGAGAUAUUUUGACAUGAACAUGACUGAGUGUAGUAGUGAUUUGCGCUCUAGUACUACAAUCACGUGAAGACUAGCGCUAUGCGCUUCACAUACAAGUCCUAAUUGCCUAUAGCAAUCUAGGACAUGACUGGCACCUACAAUGGAUCGAAAGUGAGCGUACGGUGUGAUGUGAACAUGCACGUGAAAGACUGGCCCUGGCCCUGGGUGAGUACUAACACCAGUGCAGCACACGAUGAACACAUAACGUAAAUAUGAUCAUGCCACAGUAAAUCAAUAAUUCGAUAAUUCUAAUCAAUGCAAUGUUAUUCAUGACUGUAACUCCAAUUAAGGCAUCAAUAAUAACACGCAUACCUGUGCAUCUCGUAGGAUGUAGCAUAAUUUCAUGAAUUCCGUUAAUACGCUAAUUCUUAUAAACAUUAAUCUAAUCUAAGCGUAACAUGGAAAGUUCUUUAUCAAAUAUAUAAAUGGAAACUAAACAAAUAUGUAAUAUUUAAAAGCAAAGACCCACUCACAAAUCAUGUCGUCAAGUCAAACCUAUUUCGCGGGCAUUGAAGCUUCUUGUGAUGUGUUGCACCUAGAAACGAAACCAUUUACGUAAAUAUAUAACAUACUAACGUAUAUACACGUUUUCGUACUAAGUACGACAAGUAAAGAAACUAUUUUAAAAUGGUCGAAUUUCGGAAAAUGGACGAUGGAUUUGGGUUCGGCACGUUAAGAAACCUAAGGAGGGACCUUGGGUUCUCCCACACGUCACCACACGCGCCACUAUCAAGUUGCAGGCCUAACAUUUUGAGCUCCAAACGAGCUCAUUUCACAACCAAAAACAAUGAUUCAAAAACCAAUUAGAAGCUAGGAAUGUGAGGAAGAGUUUUAUACCAGUUCAAGGUCCAAUCGUGGCUAGAAUUGGCUAGGUGAACGGCCUAAAAAUGGCUUGAUGGUCAUGGUCCAAAGUUCCAGAAUUUUGGAAAAAUUCUUCCCCAAGUCUAUUUCGUGUUACGCUUCACCAAAACAGGUAUUCAAUGUCACCUUCUAAUCCAACAACAAAAGAGAAUUGACUUACAAAACCCUAAGGCUUACCUUGGUCGAAAACUCAAGAAACUCACCGGGAAAUAUGGCACCGAUGGCAAUGUUCAUAGUUCAUUUCUACACCAACUGUAGAAGAGAGAUAACAAGUGAGGGAGAGAGAGACAUGACGAUGCAAUGGCCUAAGAACUCGUUGGAGUGGUGAUGGGUAGGUGAUGGUGGUCGGGAUUAGCUCAUUGCCUUUGUGUUUACAAAGAGAUUGAGGGAUAUAAGGCUGUUGAAAGAGCAUGAAGGCUGCUGGUGGUUU
rnacentral:lncRNA from 1 species